AUUGAACGCUGGCGGCAUGCCUUACACAUGCAAGUCGAACGGUAACAGGUCUUCGGAUGCUGACGAGUGGCGAACGGGUGAGUAAUACAUCGGAACGUGCCUAGUAGUGGGGGAUAACUACUCGAAAGAGUUGCUAAUACCGCAUGAGAUCUACGGAUGAAAGCAGGGGAUCGCAAGACCUUGUGCUACUAGAGCGGCCGAUGGCAGAUUAGGUAGUUGGUGGGAUAAAAGCUUACCAAGCCGACGAUCUGUAGCUGGUCUGAGAGGACGAUCAGCCACACUGGAACUGAGAAACGGCCCAGACUCCUACGGGAGGCAGCAGUGGGGAAUUUGGGACAAUGGGCGCAAGCCUGAUCCAGCAAUGCCGCGUGCAGGAUGAAGGCCUUCGGGUUGUAAACUGCUUUUGUACGGAACGAAAAGCCCUGGGUUAAUACCCUGGGGUCAUGACGGUACCGUAAGAAUAAGCACCGGCUAACUACGUGCCAGCAGCCGCCGUAA
rnacentral:rRNA from 1 species